rnacentral:rRNA from 1 species
ACGGAAGGCAGCAGUGGGGAAUAUUGCACAAUGGGGGAAACCCUGAUGCAGCGACGCCGCGUGAACGAUGAAGUAUUUCGGUAUGUAAAGUUCUAUCAGCAGGGAAGAUAAUGACGGUACCUGACUAAGAAGCACCGGCUAAAUACGUGCCAGCAGCCGCGGUAAUACGUAUGGUGCAAGCGUUAUCCGGAUUUACUGGGUGUAAAGGGAGCGUAGGUGGUAUGGCAAGUCAGAAGUGAAAUGCGGGGGCUCAACCCCUGAACUGCUUUUGAAACUGUCAAACUAGAGUGCAGGAGAGGAAAGCGGAAUUCCUAGUGUAGCGGUGAAAUGCGUAGAUAUUAGGAGGAACACCAGUGGCGAAGGCGGCUUUCUGGACUGUAACUGACACUGAGGCACGAAAGCGUGGGGAGCAAACAGGAUUAGAUACCCUGGUA